UAUCAAAUGCUUCCUGGCAUUCUGCCGUCC
rnacentral:piRNA from 1 species